rnacentral:lncRNA from 1 species
CCCCCUGAAAAUAUCCUGGCGCGGCCCCUGUUUCAACGCAGUGUGCUUGAAGUUAUUACCUGCCGAACAUCAUAUUUUCCAUUCGAGCCAGGAUACAUGCGCGCGCCUGCCCGGAAAGUUCGUUUUCCCGCGGAAUUUCCCUUCGUGUAUGUUGAGUGCACGUACACCCAGUGCUUGCAAGAUCUCGUUGUUACGUAGAAUGAAACAUUUAUUUCGUUUCCUUUUUUCUCGGCUUGUAUGGAUUGCGUAAAGUUUGGUCUGUCUCUUCCAGCUGCACUUACGGAAACUGGAGUAAGAAACAGUUCGAGAACGAAACGCGGUAGAGAAGGAGUGCUAUCCUGUUCGAAGUGUCGAUCCGGGCGCGAAGAGAUAGAAGAAAUAUAAAACGGAUUCCACGGCAGAAGAGACGCGUGUUCACCCUACACAGUGUACUACAGUUCGCCGUUUCCGUCGUGCUCUCUCGCAGUGGAUUCGAAUCUCGUUUAACGCUGUAUAUAUACUUGUGCCGAUAAACCACGUUCUUGUUUUUUCACCGAUGGCGUUGUAAGAAAUGAACGAACGUUUGGUGAACAAUUCCUGUGAACCUCGAAAAGAAAAAAAAGUACGACGCUCUCGUGAGUCACAGGUCGGCGAUAUCUGGGUAUUUCUAUUUUUCUUCGAUUAUUUUGUGUGUGUUCAAAAAACUCUCUCACACGUGCAUUGUAUUUUCACAAAACGUGUAUCACCGACAUACCAUUGUCUGGAGUUUUUAUUUUUAUCCUUUCUUUAUUUUAUUUAUUUUUUUUUUUUUCGUGCGUGCGCGCCACGUCUUGAAGUGUGCGAGCUAUACAUAUAAUAGGUGUGCCGCAGCACGACGCUUUCCUUUGAAGCGAUGCGUUCGUUCCACACCAUUCACCACGGCUUGUAGAACUAAACGCCUUGAAGAGGCCCUGAAGCAUCGCUUGUCUGCCUUCUUAACCCAUCCCCUCGCACUUACUAACGCGUAGUUUUCACGCAUGUAAAAACUGACAGUUUGAUUUUUUUAUUUCUUUUCAACGGGAGGCAGUUAAAGGACGGUAAACAUCAUGACGAAUCAGCCAUUCCGAAAGAUUGCGGCCGGGGGGGGGGGGGGGGGGGGGCAUCAAUUAAUGCAUUGAGUUCUUUGCACUGAGUUCUAAUGCACUGAGUUCUGAUCGAAGGGCCUUAGUGGGAAGGGGCUAGAGAAGAGUUGGAGGGGGAGGGGUGGCGCUGUGGUGACACUUUAUUGAGUUCUUUGAACCCUGCGCACGCAUAUGGAUCUCACCAUAGCGAAAGGCCGACAAAGAUGCUUCAAAACACCUGUAACGGUGUAUAUAACGUGAGCCUCGAUCGUGUAAGACAUGAUGCACCACAGAUUAUGCUUAGUACGGAUUCGGAACGUUGAUUUUAAACCUUUUCGUCAGUUGCUACCAACGUUGGUUGCUGCGAAGCAAGGCAAAAAUGUAUUGGCAGAAAUUUCUCGCGAUUCCUAAUUUCAGUUUUUCUUUAUCACAGAGUUUACCCCUCGGCACGAAACGAAUGAAUCGUGCAUGUUAUAUGCACACGCGGAAACUGUCGCGCUCAGUAAAGUCCAACAGUUCAGUUUUUCUGAGAGUUCUCGAAACCGGAAGUGUGGCGCGCCACGUGACACGCACUUGCCUUUGCAGCGUUAAAAGAGGAGGAUACGUGGUUGUGUAUGUAUCAACGUGAAAUGUUGCUUACUUAACUACCAGCGCAUGAUGUGGAGUGAGAUUUUACUGAAAGUUACGGAGUGCGCCUCUCUAUAGCCUGGAAUACCAAGUGCUUCUUUUGCUGCUGCCCUCACUUGUAUGUGCAGCUCUCAAUACAUAAGUUGUGAAUUCGCUUCACCGACGCUGACAGGUGAGCGCGAUGGCCGCGGCUUACGUUGUGAUGCGUGUAUACACAGUGAAUGCUGUUACCGCGGACAUUGCAGCUGAGUUAUCGACAAUGAUGCAAGUCAUUUGAGGGGAAGACGAUGCCGGUUAUGGCUAGGAUGGGAGGGAAAGAGAGUGGAAGGAAGAAUGCACGUUUGUUUGUUUGUUUCUUCACCGUUCGUUUAUCUAUCUAUCUAUAUAUUAUAUACAUAUAUAUAUAUAUAUAUACAGUUCAAACCAUAUGAGUCUUCUAUAGACGAAAGCGCAGAGUAGUUGGAACGAGUUUGCAAGUUCUUUCCGUGUGAUCGACUUUCACCCAUAAUUCAGCGUCUUUUCAUACAUUCUCUCGUUCAGCGAGCGGUUGUUACAGCUCCGUCUUAAGACUUGUUAAGCCUUUUCGAAAUAAAAAAAAGGAAAAGAAAGAACAA